ensembl:lncRNA
AGGAGAGAACUCUGUGGCUGACUUUAUUCUGACAUAUAGCUAAAAACUGCUGGUAAAAAAACUUAAAACCCAAUCCAGCCUUCCAGCUGAGCCAUGAACAGGACAGAGCAGACAGCCUCCUGCUCUCAGAGCCGCUUGAGCAGGGCUGGGCUCCCGGGCCGGACCCACCAGAGGACCACCCAGAGCAGCACCUGCAAGCUGCCAGCUUUACAGGAAGAGGUACGAGAUGACAAGACCACCAUCAAAUGUGAAACCUCGACCCCCACCUCUCUGCGGUCCCUUCGGCUGGACUGGCUGCAGACGGGGUGCUGUGCACGGCCAGUCACGAGGACAUGAGGGAUGCCCACAAGCAUGAGUUGCUGGAGGAAGCCGGGAGACAAGGCGUGCCUUCGCACAGUGGGACGGGCCAACAGUUGUGGUCUGGCUGGAGGUGUGUAUGCGCCCCCUCACCUCCACCCACACCCGCGCCCGCACCUGCACCCCCUUCCUGGGCCGGUGCAUCAGUCCCUCCACAGCCACACAUAACCUCCUGCCUCCUGUCUCCCGUACCCAGCUCUGGGUCGGGAUGCCGGCCUGGUAGGUGGCUGCUUGCCGAGCCAACGUGAAGAGCGGCGUCAUCAUGUCUGCCCUGUCACACGGAGAUCCAGCGUGAGAUCAGCAUCAGCAACCCGCCGCAUCGGCUGAAGCUGCGCCUGGCGAUCCAGGAGAUCAUGUCCCUGACAGGCCCCUAGCCCCUCCCACGUCCAGAACGGUGCACCUCCCUCCUUCAGUAGGGAGAGAUAGCACCCCCCCGCCCCGGUUGUGUCGCUUGCGGGGUUUUCUAUACAGAUCUCCUCUGUUCCUGCUUAA